GACGUAGGGGACGAGCGUUGUCCGGAUUCAUUGGGCGUAAAGCGCGCGCAGGCGGCCGCGUAAGUCGGGUGUGAAACCCCGGGGCUCAACCCCGGGCCUGCAUCCGAUACUGCACGGCUAGAGGUAGGUAGGGGAGAUCGGAAUUCCUGGUGUAGCGGUGAAAUGCGCAGAUAUCAGGAAGAACACCCGUGGCGAAAGCGGCUCUCUGGAACGGUACUGACGCUGAGACGCGAAAGCGUGGGGAGCGAACAGG
rnacentral:rRNA from 1 species